AACCCGGAAUUCUCACCGUCACCAUUUUGUAUACUAUGACGCAAUACCAUGGACGCUCACGAGCUGCGGAUGGAGGUUUCAAUUUUUUAAAACUAACUACAAGAAUGGACAGAGUCAGAGAUACAUGGUAUACACAACUCUGGUUGUUCAAACUGAUGGUCAAACCGAUAAACAAAUAAAUGGAAAUAGAUAACUUGUAGAUUCACUGGAAGAAACCAGGGAACGAUUGAAAUGAAAGUCAACGCAACGAAAGUGUUUUUGUUUUGAUUGGUGACUUGCCACUUGGAAAGCUCAAAGAAAGCUGGUUGAAUUGGUCAACAGUGGCAGAUCAAGAAAUGUUAAUAAAAGUGGGGUUUUGCACUGACUGCCAAACUGGGGCCUUCUCCAGUCAUGUGUGAUGAUGCUUCAAUAAUUCCUUUAAAGCAUUUUUAAUGAAAGUACAUGCACAAAAAGAAGUAGUGGAAAAUAAUCAACAAAACAGAAGUCAUUAGAGGCGAUGCUUUCUAUAUUUAUACAUGUAUCUAGACUAGAAGUGGAUUUGAAAAGUGCUGUAUUGAUUCAUGUGCAAAUAAGGAGCAACAGCCAAUGAAACAUUGCAAAUGUGUGA